CUUCUAGGUAUAUCCUUAAGCUAAAUUUAAACAUUAUUAUGAUCACAUUUCCCACCUGAUGAGUUCCCCUAACGCGAGAUGGAUUCACAGUCUGUCUCAAACUUGUGGUGUCUAACUUAUGCAUGGGCAGGUUGAAUCAACUGGUUAAAGGCCAGCGCAAGACCAACCAGCCUAAUAAAAUAGCUAGCCGGAACUGACCCCAUCAGCAACAACAUGACCAAGAAAGCCCACCUAAAGACCC
rnacentral:lncRNA from 1 species